rnacentral:rRNA from 1 species
AUACGGAGGGUGCAAGCGUUACUCGGAAUUACUGGGCGUAAAGGACGCGUAGGCGGUUUAGAAAGUCAGAUGUGAAAGCCUAUGGCUUAACCAUAGAACUGCAUUUGAAACUUCCAAACUAGAGUGGGGGAGAGGUCAGUGGAAUUAGUGGUGUAGGGGUAAAAUCCGUAGAGAUCACUAGGAAUACUCAUUGCGAAGGCGACUGACUGGAACUUAACUGACGCUCAGGCGUGAAAGCGUGGGGAGCAAACAGGAUUAGAUACCCUAGUAGUCC